rnacentral:sRNA from 1 species
UACGCUCCACACAAGUUAAACUUGAGCAUGUGGCCAUCACAAGGAUGAUGUAACACCAGUAGUUAAGACUAAUAGGGAUAUUAGUAGUUAGCUACAUCAGGUGU